GACGAACGCUGGCGGCGUGCUUAACACAUGCAAGUCGAGCGGUAAGGCCCUUUCGGGGUACGACGAGCGGCGAACGGGUGAGUAACACGUGGGUGACCUGCCCUCCAGCUCUGGGAGUAAGCCUGGGAAACCGGGUACUAAUACCGGAUAUGACUCCAUGACGCAUGUUGUGGGGUGGAAAGCCUUGUGCGGCUGAGGAUGGGCCCGCGGCCUAUCAGCUUGUUGGUGGGGUGAUGGCCUACCAAGGCGACGACGGGUAGCCGGCCUGAGAGGGCGACCGGCCACACUGGGACUGAGACACGGCCCAGACUCCUACGGGAGGCAGCAGUGGGGAAUCUUGCGCAAUGGGCGAAAGCCUGACGCAGCGACGCCGCGUGAGGGAUGACGGCCUCGGUGUAACU
rnacentral:rRNA from 1 species